AAGUGGAGCAAUCCAUGAGUAUAGUGGCGACCGGGUGAGUAACACGUGACUACCUGCCCUUGAGUGGGGGAUAACCUCGGGAAACCGAGGCUAAUACCGCAUAAUAUCGCAAGAUCAAAGGAGCAAUCCGCUUUUGGAGGGGGUCGCGGCUGAUUAGCUAGUUGGUAGGGUAAUGGCCUACCAAGGCAAAGAUCGGUAUCCGGCCUGAGAGGGCGCACGGACACACUGGAACUGAAACACGGUCCAGACUCCUACGGGAGGCAGCAGUGGGGAAUUUUGCGCAAUGGGGGAAACCCUGACGCAGCAACGCCGCGUGGAGGAUGAAGGCCCUUGGG
rnacentral:rRNA from 1 species